AUUCAAAAUGUGAUAUUGAUGUGACCUCUGGUGAAAUAAAAUCCGUGUUCCCAGUAGCAGCAGGAAAAUCAGUUCAAGCAUUUGAACGGCCACAACCUUCACUGAUUAUUAAUUAGGCUAAGAAUUUAGUUAGCAGCAGAUUGCAUCUGCUACCUCUCAUCACCAUAAAAUUAUUUAGG